rnacentral:sRNA from 1 species
CUGUUUUUGAUUAAAUUUUUCUAAUGACAUUGUCAUGUAAUUAAUUACAUAAAUUAAGGUUACAUUUAAAAUGUACUUCCCAAAUAAUAUAGUAGGAUUUUUUUGCCUAACAAAUACGAAUUUAGACUAUAAUAUAUGUAGCUGAGUAAUAAAAAUACAGUAUACAUUUUUUUGUU